rnacentral:lncRNA from 1 species
AAGCUAAAACUUUUGUUCACCAGCUGCUCAGCUUUUCAGUCUGGGUUUGAGCUGGAACCUGCUGCAAGCGUUUGACGGUAAGACUUUCUUUGCCGAUACAUUUUGGGAAUCUAAUAUUGUUUUAGACUUCGAAAGGGGGUGUUCUUCAGGUUGCACGUUUCUAAGGGGUUUAAGCACUCCCAGGAUGGCGUCCAGGGCUUAGAUCUUAAGAAUGUUUCUUCCUGCCACUCCCCACGCCCUUGGCUCUUUAAGGAUAAAAAAAAGGAGGGGGUAUAUUCUUCUAAUAUGGUCUGAAUAUUUUUUGAAUUUGCAUUGUGUUUAUGGUUUCAAUAUGUGCUCUGAUAUUAAAAGUUGAAGUACAAAGAGCAACACUAAAGUUACCAAACUUGAGUAGCUCCUCUAUAGGGAUUAUGGGUGAAUGCAUUAAAGGCUUUAUCCAAGGAGAAAUUUAGGCAACCAUCUCUAUAAACAGUAACCAGAAAUAUUUACGUAAUAUAAUGGUGUCUACUAAAAGCAUUAUGGAAAAUGUCAGACAAGGCGGACUAAAUAAAGAUACACUGGAUCUACACAGAUCAACAAAAAAACAUCCAUAAAGGUCCCCUUUUGGUUUCCAUUACAGUGGUUUAGAGGGAGCAAAGCAAUUGAGAAAUGAAUGGGUUUGAAUUUAACCAGUGUGCUUCAGGUAACUAGUAAGUAGCAAACACAAACUUUUCAUCUCCAGGAGCUGCCAAUUCUCCUUGAACCUGUCCAGUGAUUGUGCUGGUUUUUUCUCACUUACUGUGUCAGAUGUUAACAACAUGUCCAGAAAUUUCUCUACAACCUGCCUCAGUCAGUCAGCCUCUGGAACUAUGGGGCUAGAAGACUGGGAAAGAAAAGUUAGAAAAGAUUAGAAAAAGGAGUCUCUUUGAAAAGCACACAAUUAAAACAAAGCUAGCAGGAAAGGUCUUUUUAAUUGGAGACCCAAAACACAGUAUCAGUAAAAAUGAUGAAGUCUAGAUUUCUAACAGAAAACAUAAUAUAAGAAACAUGUUACUUGAAAAAGUGUGGUUCAAAGAAGAAAGAAAGAAGGUCUUGAUGCAGUCCAGUAUUAAAUAUUACAUUUUUUAUUUUCUCGGAAUUUCCAAAUAUAUAUUAAUUAUUCCAUAAAGUGUUUUUUUUUUUCAAAAUUUUCACUUCCUAGAACAUUUGGAAUAAGAAAAAAAUAUUGAUUUUUAUUUUCUAAGCCACAGAAAAAAAAUUUAAAUGUCCUAACAACAGGAAAGAUUCCUAACAUUCCCUAUAACAACUACUUCAGUGUCCACAUCUAUAUCCCAAUACUGAAAGAUGACUUUUUACAUUUAAUGGCUAAUUAUAUUAUGAAGAAUGGUACAAAUUACAAAAUGUAUUAUAGAAUUUUUGUAGCUUUCAUUUUAAACUAUAAAUAGUCUGGUGUUUAUCCUGUAUUUAUAAUAUAUUGGAAUUUUCCUGAAAAAUAUUCUAUUAAUACCAGUAUUUCAUGCAAAGUUUUAAUAUCAAGCAGUGCAUUAUAACAAGAGCUUGAAUAUAUGAAUAAUGUAAGCUGCUAGUCUUUUCCAGAAAAAGUAAUCAAAACUAUUUAAGCAUGUGCUAGGCUCUUUAAAUUUGACAAAUAUGUACAUGUAUUAUUCCUUUUGCUUAACAAAACAAUAUUCAAUAGUAAAGGCAGAUUUUUUUAAAUUAAGAUAUUUUAUUUCAAAGAGACUAGAACUUAAAUUAAGCAACCUGAAAAGUUUGUUUAAAUUUUAAGAAUCAUGAUGCUUCUUUUAAGAGUUGCCAUUCUUCUGCACAUUUGUGUCAUGAGGUAUGAUGGGAAAAAUAUUUAAAAUUAAGCAUAAUCUUUAGCUAAAGAUAUUAUAAACUUUGUCGUGCAUUUUAUCUGCCAGACAAAUUUACUUCGGUAGCAUAUAGCCAUGAUAUACGAAUUUAUGUAUGGAAAAUUAAAUCACAAUGGAAUUUGUCUAUGAAACUUGUGUUGUACAUAAAAAUAUUUUUUCUACUAUAUUUCUCCAAGAAAUGAACAGUUCUGUCCUUCAGUUCAUUCUUCUGAAGUAAAAAAUUUUUUAAAUAUAUUAAAAUAUGCUAAAUACUCAAUGGUAAUUUAUGUGAUUUAUGAUGCACUCCAUAUUUAAGAACUAAGGAACUGCCCUUCUCCAGGAAUUAUGCAAUGUAGUAUUUCAGGAACAAUUUUGCUAUGGCUAAUGCAUAUUAUUAGGUGAUUCAAUAUACCUUUACUGAUUUUUAAAAUAAGUUGCUAUUUUUACAUAACACUGGUUGGUGCUUUCACGAUAAAUUUGUUAUGUUUCUAUAUUACUAAAUGAAUACUUAACCCUUAUUUCAAAAAAGUGUGAAAUAAUACCCAAUAUACUUUGUUUUCCUAAUUUCUGUCUUCUUCCUACAUUUAGUUUUCUUUCUUUCAUAAAUUGGUGGUUUUCUUCAUUUCAAGUAUCAUCUAGUAAAUAAUGUUCAGAACACUAUCAUGAAAUACAGAUUAUGAGUGAUAAUUUUAAAUUUAUAAGAUUUAAUUAAAAAUUAAAAAUAUUUGCAAUCUUUCAUUAUUCCAAUUCCCUUCCACAUACAUUUUAUGACAUUGUAAUCAUCCUUUGGUGUGUAUGUAAGGAGUGUCAAAAUGAAGAGACACCGACCACCUCUCAAAUUUCAAAAACGUCUAAAUGAACUUCCUUUUGUCCACCUGUUUUAAAUCCAGAAUUAUUCAACAGUUUUCUUAUAAUGCACAUGGGAAAUAAUUACAUUCAGUUCCUACAUUUUCAUUUGCAUUCACCUUGUAUGUUAUUUUUGUUGAUAAAUGUAUCUCACGUUGGCUCCCUUAUAUACCUAGCUGUAAGAAGUAUAGGCAUACUAAUGCAAGACAGUUCCAUAAUGAAAUGCUAUAUAUUGCAUUAUAUAUUCUAUACCAUCAAACUCAUAAGCAUUAAGUUUCUAUCCACAAUUUAAGGGAAAUAAACCAUUUAUUUCUCCCAUGUCAUAAAAAGCAACAUUAUACUUUUAAGUGGACUGAAUUUAGAACAAGUUCAUAAAUCUCGGAGAAAAAAAUCAUUCGAAACUAAACACGGGAAUUAUAGGUAAAACCUUAGUCUUCUGUUUUAAAUUUUCCAACUUGAAGAGUUUAACAUGACUAAUGUAAUUCUGGCACAAUGGUAAGUUAUUCUUCUGUGUUUUUAUUUUUCAUGCUUCAUCAAUUUGUAGCAUGUUUUAUUCUUAAAGUGGUUCUUUCAUUUUGAACUUGAAUCACUAAAACUCUCUGUGUUUUAGCUGUGUUGGUAUGGCUCUCCCAAAAUAUUUAAUUGCACACUCUAGUUUUAUAUGAUUCCAACUCAGCAAAGAAACACCAGCUGCCUUUGAUAUCAACACUUUUGUGUGUAGGAAUAAAAAAAUGUGUAUCUGUGUACUAUACAAAAUAGUUUAGUUAAAGCAAAACACAUGAGGUAUUAUAAAAUAUUUUGAAGAGUUAAUAUUAGUACCUUGAUAAGCUCAGAUGUGUAAAAGAUUUUAAGAAUACAGAGUAUUUUUACACAAGGUAAUAGCCAUAUGAAAAUGGAUCAAAACAAGAAUGCAAAUGAUUAAAUGACAACUAUUUGCUUCUGUCUCACUUGAUGUAAGGAAUUAGAAAGAUGACAGGAGCACAAAAUAGGCCAAGGGAAAACCAGAAGAAGGUGUUUAGCAGGUGAAAAGACAGAAAAAUAAGAUAAUCUUAAAUAUAUGAAAAAUAAUUAUAUAUUUGAUAAUACAAAUAUGUAAUUCAUAAGCCACAUACAUUUACAAUAAUGGUAAAAAGGUCCCAGGUGCAUGUUUUAGUUUAAUUGGAAUUUUAAAAAAGUAAUCAGAAAGGUUUAUGUUUAAACAUAUGCAUGGCAUUUAUAGUUUUGAUAAAAGAGAUACUAACAAAAUACUGUGCUGAGAAACAGUUUCAAGUAAUCAGGUACAUAUAAUGUAAAACUUAGGUACAGAGGGGGCCAAUGCCCAGACAUGUGCAAGCUACUGAGUAUCUGAAAUUCUGAGUAACUGGUGCUUUCUUGACUUACAAAUCUGUAACCUGAAACUCAUUGUAGUCAAUUGUUUUUCUAAAUUUUAUUUAUUUUUAGAGAAUGAUUUCUGCUAAGUUGGGGUAACAGUAUAUGGGAAGGGAAUAAACUGGUUUUCAAAAGCUUUCAGUGGCUGAGAAAAAAGAAAAACAAGAAACCUACUGGGCCAACUGCAUCUUAGAGCACUUCAAAGUACAAGGGAUUCCAACAGAAUCAAACACUAACCAGAACCCUGAAGGAGUAUCAGUUCUGAGCCCAGGGCCCAGCAUAAGGCAAUUACUCAUACCAUCAGCUAACACUCAUUUCCACCAAGUACGGAGACCUGCGAUCAAAGUGAAGUUUUCUCUACAUUAGGUGAGAACACAUAAAUAUGAGAUGAAACUUCUUCAACACAGAAUAACACAGAAAAGUCUUUCCCCCUAUUUGGCUUAUUCAUUUUGCAUGACCCUUGCCUAAUGACUUGAGUGGCAGGAACCACCUUGUUCCAACUCCAUGUUGCUAAUGACUAAUUCUUGAGGCAUAAAUAAUGAACAGGGAAAGAGGGAUGUGACUAAAAUGGUCAAAACAAUGUUAGAAUACUUUAUGAUAAAAUACAGUAAAACUUACUACUGAUCUUGAAAGUAGACUACAUGGUAAUGGGAAACCUGAGAGUUUCUUCCUCUAAUCUAGACCAACUGUAGUGAUAUGUUGCACAAAUGCAACAGCAUUUCUGCAAAUAACUUAUUAAGGAUGAUUAUGUGUGCUGGCGACAGUGAAGUUAAUGUUCCUAUGGAGACAUAAUCAAAGUCAAUUUAAAUAAAUUUCACCCAUAACCAAAUACAAUAAAACCUCUACUUACCACAAACAACUUUAAUAUUUCCCUGAUAUGUUAAAUACAGAGAGAUAAAAAUGGCACAAUUAUGACUUUCCAGGAUAAUUCUUACAUUUUGUUUCAUGACAGCUCUCAUUUGUGGACCAGUAUUACCUGUCAAUAGCUAAUGAAAUGCCUGGAUUAUUCCAAGUUUUGUUCUUAGUCAAAUCUUAUAUCCUAUUUUGUUCAGUUAAAAAUAUGAUUUGAUCAGGGUAAAAAUCAGAAGCCCUUUGGAUUUUUAAGAUCAGAUUUUCCAAAGUAUAUGGCAUAUCCUCAUCUGACAGACUUUGCCAAGGCAGAUGCCCAGGUGGCAACACUUAGAAUUGUUUUUUCAGGUCCAAAAAUAAACACAUAAUUAGAAAAUGCUGUAAAAAUCUCCACUCUUGUAUGUGUGGUGACAAAUUUGAAAGUACCUUUAAAAAAGACAAGAAGAAGCACACAGAAGCUAGUAAAUGUUACACUCUAUAAAUCUGAAUUAGCUGUUGGUGUUCUUCUUUCUGUAAUAAUAUUAAAGACUUGCCAAUCCAUGUGUAUUUCUUCCUGUAGACUCAUUUUUUUUUUUUUUUUAGUAGCAGAUGCCAUUACCAUCUGGUAUUUGUGACCAAAUGUAACACAGAUAUGAUUAAAACAAAAAAGUGGGUAAGAUUCCUUGCAAUGUACUGGCAAUUCCAGUGUUCAAAAAUUACUAAAUCCGACUUCAGAUUAACAAGGCCCAUGUCAGUCUCUUUGUAAACAGCAUCACUGCAAACUCAGUUGCUCAAAUCAGAAGUAAGAUCCCACCCACAACAAGCCCUUCCCUUCUUACGCCUCCCACUUAUACAAUCUAUCCUCAAGUAGAAUAGUAACAAUUCUACUUUAAUAUUAACUAAAAUAAGUUAAUUACUUUAUUUUUUUAAUGUUUAUUUUUGAGAGAGAGAGAUAGAGUGAGCACGAGCAAGCAAGUGGGGGAGGGGCAGAGAGAGAUGGGACAGAGUAUCCCAAGCAGACUUCACAUUGCUAGUGAAGAGCCUGAUACAAGGCUUAAACUCAUGAACCUUGAGAUCAUGACCUGAGUGAAAACCAGAAGUCCGAAGAAGCUUAACCAACUGAGCCACCCAGGUGCCCCUUAGUUAAUCGCCAAUGCCAUUACUUUAAUUGGGGCCCUUAUCCCUCUUGUUUCCAUUACAGAGGAUUCCCAAGAGGGAGCACUGGUUUGACCCUUAACUCUAUCACUUUCUAAUUCUGAGUGUAUUCAUUUGCUAAUGAAAAAGAAUACUAUGAGGAAUUAAAUAUGACAAGGUUUUGAGUGAACCUAACAAGAUGCUGAACAUAAUGUGUAAUAAAUUUAAGGUGUAUCUAGAGCUGCACUGUUGGAAACAGCAACAUGUGACUGUUGAGCAUUUGAAAUGUAACUUAUCCAAAUUAACAUGUGCUUUAAAAGACUUCAUGAGAAAUUCACAUGAUUUCAAAGACUUCAUGUGAAAUUAAUAGGCUUUUAUAUGGAUUGCAAUUUAAAAUGGUAAUUGUUGGAUACACUGUACUGAAUAAAGUAUGUUGUUGAGGUUAAUUUUCUUCCUUUCUACUUUUUAAAGUAGAUACACAAAUAUUUAAAAUCACAAACGUGGCUUGCAUUGUAUUUCUCUUCGAUAGCACUGAUCCAAAAGAAUAGAAGAUGCCAUUUAACUUUUUCUCCCUCUCAUGCCCCACCACCUUGCAAAAAGGUACCAAAUGACAUAUAUAUCUGUCAAAAUGAUGUAGGACCCUAAAUAUCUCUGUAAGUUGAUCCUCUUGACCUCAUGAAUAGGAGCUUCACAAUGUGGUACCACACAAGGAAACCUCCAGCACAAAAUCUCAAGGAAACACAGGAAAUUCCUGGAGCGGCAAAACAUCCUAUUUGAAGACAUUCAGUUACUCCUUUGUACAUCAGGAGCAUCAUUAUUAACUAAUUGUUGAUAUACCUGGAAAAGUUCAUUUAGCAACAGUCUUUGCAAAGAAAGAAGAGUCGUGUAUUAUCCAUGAUGGACUAGACAAUACCGUCACAAUGGGUUGACCUCUAUAUCCUAAGCCUUCACAAAAGUUUAGUUCUUAUUCCUACAAAUUCUGAUACAAGAUGGUUGGCUCUCCACACAGCAACUGAUCUCAUGAAUUCGUCAUCUCAACGUUUCUCCAAAAUAUCACAGCAGGGAAAAACAGAGGUGGAGGGUUACAUACCUGGUUUUACAUACUUUGAUGCAGAAAUGAUACAUGUCAAUAACUUGCAGGCCAGAAUAAAACCUGAUAUACCUCUAAGGGGUCUGGAAAAUAUUCUAAAGCACAUGACUAUUUGGUGAGCAGUAAAUGUUUC